AUUGAACGCUGGCGGCAGGCCUAACACAUGCAAGUCGAGCGAGCGGCGGACGGGUGUGUAAUGCCUGGGAAUUGCCCAGUCGAGGGGGAUAACAGUUGGAAACGACUGCUAUUACCGCAUACGAUUGGAUUGCCCAGGUGGGAUUAGCUAGUUGGUGAGGUAAUGGCUCACCAAGGCGACGUGCCCUAGCUGGUCUGAGGGGAUGAUCAGCCACACUGGAACUGAGACACGGUCCAGACUCCUACGGGAGGCAGAAGUGGGGAAUAUUGCAAAAUGGGGGAAACCCUGAUGCAGCCAUGCCGCGUGUGUGAGGAAGGCCUUCGGGUUGUAAAGCAUUUUCAUCGAGGAGGCGUUACUCGCAGAGGAAGCAACGGCUAACUACGUGCCAGCAGCCGCGGUAAUAC
rnacentral:rRNA from 1 species